rnacentral:rRNA from 1 species
UACGGAGGGGGCUAGCGUUGUUCGGAAUUACUGGGCGUAAAGCGUACGUAGGCGGCUUUGUAAGUUAGAGGUGAAAGCCCGGGGCUCAACCCCGGAAUUGCCUUUAAGACUGCAUCGCUUGAACGUCGGAGAGGUGAGUGGAAUUCCGAGUGUAGAGGUGAAAUUCGUAGAUAUUCGGAAGAACACCAGUGGCGAAGGCGGCAUCCUGGACCAAUACUGACGCUGAGGAGCGAAAGCCAGGGGAGCAAACGGG